GACGUAGGGCGCGAGCGUUGUCCGGAUUUAUUGGGCGUAAAGAGCUCGUAGGCGGUUUGUCGCGUCUGCUGUGAAAACGCGAGGCUCAACCUCGCGCCUGCAGUGGGUACGGGCAGACUAGAGUGCGGUAGGGGAGAUUGGAAUUCCUGGUGUAGCGGUGGAAUGCGCAGAUAUCAGGAGGAACACCGAUGGCGAAGGCAGAUCUCUGGGCCGUAACUGACGCUGAGGAGCGAAAAGCGUGGGGAGCGAACAGG
rnacentral:rRNA from 1 species